AUGGUUUGGUCCAUCUGCGUACCCCUGAAAAUUCGUAUCUUCAUGUGGCAGUGGAUUCGCGGUCGGGUACCGUCCGGGACGGAGGUACGCAAGCGCAAUGGCCCGGGUACCGGCAUCUGUCCGCUCUGCGGCGUUCUCAAAGACUCGAAACCCAUUUUCUUCUCCUGCGUUUCUGCCCAGUUCCUUUGGAGCUGCUUUCACGAGGUGGUCGGUGGAAAUUGGUGCCACACCAAUUUCCCGGACUUAUUUGCUGAACUGCAGCUGUCCCCCGCGACCUCUUGCCACAUUAGGUGGCUUGAGGUUGGGGUUCUUGCCUGGACCCUCUGGACUGUUCGCAAUAAACUUGUGAUUCAGCGUACUCCCCUCCGACGGGCUACUGACGCUCUCUUCAAACUCUCGGGUUUCUUGCAGCUUUGGCGGACGCUUAGCCGCCCCCCGGACCGCGACGCCAUCUCAGCCUUCAUCGCCGACCUCCGCUCGAUGGCCGUCCGCCUGUCGCCGCCGCCUCCACCGCCACCGCCGAAUCCAGACUAG
rnacentral:rRNA from 1 species